rnacentral:rRNA from 1 species
GAUGAACGCUGGCGGCGUGCUUAACACAUGCAAGUCGAACGGGAAACCUUUUAUUGAAGCUUCGGCAGAUUUAAUUUGUUUCUAGUGGCGGACGGGUGAGUAACGCGUGGGUAACCUGCCCUAUACAGGGGGAUAACAACCAGAAAUGGUUGCUAAUACCGCAUAAGCGCACAGGACCGCAUGGUCUGGUGUGAAAAACUCCGGUGGUAUAAGAUGGACCCGCGUUGGAUUAGCCAGUUGGCAGGGUAACGGCCUACCAAAGCGACGAUCCAUAGCCGGCCUGAGAGGGUGAACGGCCACAUUGGGACUGAGACACGGCCCAGACUCCUACGGGAGGCAGCAGUGGGGAAUAUUGCACAAUGGGGGAAACCCUGAUGCAGCGACGCCGCGUGAAGGAAGAAGUAUCUCGGUAUGUAAACUUCUAUCAGCAGGGAAGAU